rfam:Brachypodium distachyon strain Bd21 chromosome 4, whole genome shotgun sequence.
AUACUACUCCCUCCGUUUCAUAAUUCUUGUCUUAAAUUUGCCCAAAAGUGAAUGUAUCUAUUUUUAAAAAGCGUCUAAAUACAUGUAAUAUUUUGACAAGAAUUAUGAAACGGAGGGAGUAGUAU